UACGUAGGGCGCAAGCGUUGUCCGGAAUUAUUGGGCGUAAAGAACUCGUAGGCGGCUUGUCACGUCGAUUGUGAAAGCCCGAGGCUUAACCUCGGGUCUGCAGUCGAUACGGGCUAGCUAGAGUGUGGUAGGGGAGAUCGGAAUUCCUGGUGUAGCGGUGAAAUGCGCAGAUAUCAGGAGGAACACCAAUGGCGAAGGCAGAUCUCUGGGCCGUAACUGACGCUGAGGAGCGAAAGCAUGGGGAGCGAACAGG
rnacentral:rRNA from 1 species